GUCUCGCCCCGGUCCCGGCCGCGAUGCGCCGGCCUUCGGCGCGGCCUCUCCCUUCUCCUCUUGGUCACCCUCUCCUUCUCUGCUUCCCCCAUUCCCUUCUCCACGACAAGUUUUUAAACUUUGAUGAACUGGCCCAGCGAACUUUCUUAAAGGAGCCGCGCGCCGCCGGAGGUGGAGCCGAGUGCCAGGCACGCCGCAUCCCCGCCCUGUCGGCCCCACGCGAGGUGCGCCCUCGGCGAGGCCCCGGGAUUGUGGGCUCCCCUUUAACCUAGGUUCUCGGCGGACACAACAUCUUGGUUGGUAUGUGGUGCUGAGGAUCGAACCCGGGCAUCACGCAUGUCAGGCGAGCGCGCUACUGCUUGAGCCACAUCCCCAGCCCGGCAGGAAGCCAUUUCAGCAUCUUUCAGACCUUGGUCUUUCACCGGACUACCUCUUGUCCUGAGGCCACCCUGGGGAAAUUAGCCAUCAAUUAGCAUACAAAAUGACCUUGACCACUAUGGAGAUUCCAAGGAUUUUAGAAGUUAUAUGCCAGGAAGUGGGGGUGAAGACCACACAACAGUCUGUCCUUGGUAUCCAUGAAGAAUUGAUUCCAUUAAAGGUGAACAAAAUUAUGGCUUUUGCAGGUAAAGUGGAUGGAGUUGGAGAAUGUCAUGCUAAGUGAAGUUAGCCAAUCCCAAAAAAUCAAAGGCUAAAUGUUCUCUCUGAUAAGUGAAUGUUGAUCCAUAAU